GGGCCUAUAGCUCAGUUGGUUAGAGUAGCGGACUCAUAAUCCGUUGGUCCCUGGUUCGAGCCCAGGUGGGCCCA
rnacentral:tRNA from 2 species